CAAGAUUCUCGGAGUAAGGUGAAAUUCCUAACCGGCGGUGAUGUUCGUACACGAACUAAGCCCGCGACUCUCUUCUUUUUUUCAUAGAGAAGGGACUGAUCUGGUGCCAUUCCAGAGCCGACGGUAAAGUCCGGAUGGGAGAGGAUCAUA
rnacentral:ncRNA from 1 species